rnacentral:rRNA from 1 species
AGUGAACGCUGGCGGUAGGCCUAACACAUGCAAGUCGAACGGCAGCACAGUAAGAGCUUGCUCUUACGGGUGGCGAGUGGCGGACGGGUGAGGAAUACAUCGGAAUCUACUUUUUCGUGGGGGAUAACGUAGGGAAACUUACGCUAAUACCGCAUACGACCUACGGGUGAAAGCAUGGGAUCUUCGGACCUUGCGCGAUUGAAUGAGCCGAUGUCGGAUUAGCUAGUUGGCGGGGUAAAGGCCCACCAAGGCGACGAUUCGUAGCUGGUCUGAGAGGAUGAUCAGCCACACUGGAACUGAGACACGGUCCAGACUCCUACGGGAGGCAGCAGUGGGGAAUAUUGGACAAUGGGCGCAAGCCUGAUCCAGCCAUACCGCGUGGGUGAAGAAGGCCUUCGGGUUGUAAAGCCCUUUUGUUGGGAAAGAAAAGCAGCAGGUUAAUACCCCGCUGUUCUGACGGUACCCAAAGAAUAAGCACCGGCUAACUUCGUG